GCCUAAGGCAGGGCUAGUGACUGGGGUGAAGUCGUAACAAGGUAGCCGUACCGGAAGGUGUGGCUGGAUCACCUCCUUAAAGGGAGACCUAAUUCGGGUAUAAGACGAAAAAAUAGUAGUCGAAACCAAGAAUCAAUCCCAAAAGGUCGGAACGAGGUAUGUGGCUUUCAAACUAGGUUCUGGGUUCACAAAAGACCUGAAUCAGGAACAAGGGCUAUUAGCUCAGGUGGUUAGAGCGCACCCCUGAUAAGGGUGAGGUCCCUGGUUCGAGUCCAGGAUGGCCCACCUGCACAGGUGGCAAAAACAAAGAAGCGAGGAAUCAGCACCUUAUCUUACUUAUAUGGUAAGAGAGAAUGCUGGCUCUGAGUAAAGAGUCCAGAGGAACCUUGAAAACUGCAUAGAGCUA
rnacentral:misc_RNA from 1 species